AUGCUUGAGAACAACAACAAAUUAAUUGGGUUGUACGGACAGGCUGCUGCUGAAAAUAACAUAAAUAUUACUAAAAGGGGAAAUUCUCAAGAAAUUCGGAGCACUUCUAUGGCUGCAGCAAUUCCAGCAGCAAGUUUCCAAAAGCUCAAGUCACUACAAGGCCUAAUCGGUAUUUGUCGAUUGCAACUAGUGGAGGCUUGA